CGAACCGUGCGAACGUUAUUCGGAAUCACUGGGCUUAAAGCGCGUGUAGGCGGCCGGUGCGUCGGUCGCUGAAAGCCCCCGGCUCAACCGGGGAAGCGGCGCCGAUACGGCCGGCCUGGAGGGGGUAGGGGGACCUGGGACUUCCGGUGGAGCGGUGAAAUGCGUUGAGAUCGGAAGGAACGCCCGUGGCGAAAGCGAGGUCCUGGACCCUUUCUGACGCUGAGACGCGAAAGCCAGGGGAGCGAACGGGAUUAGAUACCCCGGUAGUCCUGGCCGUAAACCAUGGGCACUGGGUAGGGGCUCGCCGAUGGGCUCCCUGCCGCAGCGAAAGCGUGAAGUGCCCCGCCUGGGGAGUAUGGUCGCAAGGCUG
rnacentral:rRNA from 1 species